GCCCUACGGGGCGCAGCAGUGAGAAAUAUUGGUCAAUGGGCGGAAGCCUGAACCAGCCAAGUCGCGUGAGGGAAGAAGGCCCUGCGGGUCGCAGACCUCCUUGGACGGGGAGCAAGGCCGCCGACGUGUCGGCGGAAGGAGAGUACCCGUAGAACAAGCAUCGGCUAACUCCGUGCCAGCAGCCGCGGUAAUACGUAGGUGGCAAGCGUUAUCCGGAUUUACUGGGUGUAAAGGGCGUGUAGGCGGGACUGCAAGUGCGAUGUGAAAAUUAUGGGCUCAACCCAUAACCUGCAUUUGAAAAUGUG
rnacentral:rRNA from 1 species